rnacentral:rRNA from 1 species
UACGUAGGUGGCGAGCGUUAUCCGGAAUUACUGGGUGUAAAGGGUGUGUAGGCGGGAAGGCAAGUCGGAUGUGAAAAUUAUGGGCUCAACCCAUAAAGUGCGACCGAAACUGUCUUUCUUGAGGAUCGGAGAGGUAAUGAGAAUUCCCGGUGUAGCGGUGAAAUGCGCAGAGAUCGGGAGGAAUACCGGUGGCGAAGGCGAAUUACUGGACGAUAACUGACGCUGAGACACGAAAGCGUGGGGAG